rnacentral:tRNA from 2 species
UAGAAAAGUAGGACUUGAACCUACAAGAAAGAGAUCAAAA